rnacentral:lncRNA from 1 species
UCCGUCGUCCCUAGCUCAGCGUUCAGAAAAGCCCAAAUCUGAGAUUUCGUUCUUUCACCGGCUCCCCCGCUGCAGUCACCAUCACGAACAGACUUGGCAAACUCCAUAGGCUAUCGCAUCUACUUUCAGCACAGUCUAUUCUUCAUGGUUCUCAGUCACCACUCCACCAUAACCUCUGCUCGCGCAACUCGUACUCGCUUUCCAGAUCUGAGAGCAUGUGCUCCACCACCACGAAGAGGUCUUUCGGUGUCGACACCACCAAACGCUUCGCCUCUGACACAUCUUGCCGUCUCGCAACAGCGGCCCAGCUCCCACGACACAUCAAUGGAUCCGUGCUCAGCCUUGACGACGAGUCUCACCGGACUUCAUCUUUUUCCGACGGGAAAACUGAUUACGGCGCAUGUGGUCUCACUGCUCACCACAAAACCCUAAUCUCUUUUUGGGCCUUAUCUAAAUGGGUUUUCUCUACAAGUGACUUGGCCACAAAUGUUCUCACAAGCUCUGGCCCAUUUCUCAAGAUCAAGCGUCGAAGGCAGCGACACCAUGGUUUCGUCCGACAAAUCCCUCCGGCUAAGUUCGUUUCAGUGCCAAAUUCACAAUCGGAGAUGAAAAGAAUUUCAAUCACCUCGCCAUCUCGCUUACCGAUCUUUUUGCUACCCGGAUCUAUUGAGAUUCACCUAGUCUCCCGGGGCAACAAAGACGGUUAUAGAGCUGUUCUCUUUCGUUUGAUGGGUGCGCUAGCCUCACUCGGCUCUCCACCCAUCUUCAAACCCCUUUCACUAGGGUAUUUCAAUGUCUUUUUAGACUAUUUAAAGCUUUCUCGGGCUGUGGUUUCAAGGAUUCAAGUGAAGAUUAUCUGCGGAUCUCUCUACUUCGAGCUAGUCUCUCCUUUUAACACUUCUAUCCUCUGUUUAUUGUUUUCAUGUUAUUGUUGUUCAUCUUACCGUCGAGCAUACCUCCGGUUAAAAUCGUUGUAACGCCUUAGAUUUGAAUUAAUGAAAUUUGUGACAAAAAAAAAGGAUUCUAAAAUACAUAUAUGUAUAUAUAUACAUUAUUAUGUGUAUGUAAUUGCGAGGUUCUAAACUUUACGGAAAACUCAAUCCAAAAUAUUUUUGUGGAGUAUUUUGGAUUACAUUUUUUGUAAAGUUUAGAACCUCGGAAUUAUAUAUAUAUAUAUAUAUAUUUAGAAUUCUUAAGCUAAAACUUCCCAUUAGGGAUGCUCUAAAGCUUUUCCAACGUUCGUAUUCGAACACCUAAACAUUCUUAAAACUUCGAAACCAUUCCACCACUCAUUGCACACCGAGCGAUUGACAUUUUACAAUCCUCUUUGAUUGCACUACCCACUAAUCUAUUGACGUGGAAGCAUGCACACAUGUACGGUACAGAUCAGAACACCUUGCCUUCUCCAGAUAUGGAAAGCGAGGAUUUUGGACAGGACAUGCUUCGCGCAUUACGACAGAACAAAUUACUCAAAAGGUGUUAGGUAUGUUAUGGGCCCACCUUAAAAGCAAUAUUUUAUCGUAUUGCUACUCUGUGGUCCCCAUUUCUAAUUAGGUCUCUGCUACUUGUCGAUGGAAGAAGGAAUAUCACAACAAUGAUUUCAAAGGUAAGAAAUCUUCCAAUUCGAAUUCGCUCAAUACUACAAUGGGCGGUGUGUUAUUUAAUUGUAUUUUAACAUUUAGUUUGAUAAAUACCAAGUUUACUUUUUAUGGGAAUUACAAAUUAUUGUCGAUUGAGUCAUUUUAUAAUUAUUAUGAAGAGGCAUUUUGUACGGGACCAUACGCUCUUGAAUCUUGAUAUGUAUCAUACGUGAUAGAAUUUUGAACGUGGCAUGAUAUUAGAGGGGGUUCAUAGUUGGCUAUAUUUGCAGUUACGAGCUCGAUGAUUGUAAGUCAACUAUCAUUUGAAUUUGUUCACAUUAUAGAGAUAGAGAUAGUAAAAAAUUCAUAUUUAUAUUAUACACGUAAAAACUCGUUAGGGUUUUACUACUUAUAAAGUGAGUUGGCGUACUUUGAGUAGCCUAUGGUUUGUAUAGCGAAUAUGUUUCGAGGUAGACUGCUUAUAUACCCCCUUUACACAUAUGAUGAUAAUUUUGGCUCAAUAAUAAUAGAUCAAGUCUACCUCUUUUAUACUUUCUAGUAAAAGAAAAGUGGAUAUAAAUAACUACUACUAUAUUCAAACGUUUAUACAUUUCUAUUUAGUAAUUACGAGUUGAUAUAAUCAUUAAAUAUUAUUUACAGUGACUAAUCUUACUCUAUAUAUAUAUACAUAUAUUUAUUCUCAUUUCAUAAAAUAUUAACACAUACCAAAAAUGAUCAAAGUAUAUACACAUUAGUAAAUACCAUGUAUAGUAUUAAUCUAACACAUCUCCGUUCAUAAAGUAUGAUUUUAAAUUUUUUAAUACAUAUUAUAAAAAUCAUCAAACAUAUCCUUUUAAUUCAUAUGUCAUUUUAAGAGCUGCACCAUUAAAACUAAAAUUAUUAUUAUAUUAUAUCUCUUUUGAAAUAUUUAAUAUAAUUUUGCAUGUAAAUAUAUCAUCGAAAUCAUAUCUUAAAUUGUAAGAUCAAAUUAUCAAAACUAGUUUAAAGUUGGGAGAAUUCUACUUUUACCAAAAAUUUAAUAUCAUUUUUUAAAUUUAUUUCUAAAAAUGACUACUUUAUAAAUAUCCUAAAUUUGUGAUUAAAAAUAUUAAACUAACACUCCUAAAUCAUUUAUAAAUGUUUAAGAAUUAUUUAUAGAAGUUUAUAAACUCAAUCUCACCUCAUAAAUACUAAACUCUAAACAAUAAUCACUAAACUAUAAACCCAAAUGCUAUGAUAUUUUUGAAAAUUGGUAUCCAGUUAAUGGCAUUUAAAGUCAUUUCUCUUAGAGUUGAAUAAUAUCUAUUAAUAAAUAUGUAUCAGUUUGUUCACUGUAAAUUAGUUUAGAGUUGAAAAAAUAUAAAACUUAACAUAGUAUCAAUAUUCAAUUACACACUGUCUAAGUGGAUACACAAAUCGGUAUCUCUUACAAAAUAGUUCCAUCUGCCGAGUCCAAAACUAGUUCUACCCAGGGCGGACACAAGUAAGGGAAGGGUGUGGCAUGGGUUCCAUCCUAAUUUUUCUUUCGGAGUUGUUUUUUGGUAUAAAAUUUGUUAAAUAUCUUUAAUUUAAUUUGUUAUUGCACUAUGGAUCCUUUUGCUUAGAACAAUUCUUUCAAAUAGUUCUUUUUAAGUUUUUGUCACAAAAUAACAUUCAAAAAAGAAAAUGACUAAAAUAGUCUUUUUUUUAUUUUAAAAUUUUUAAUAUUUAUUUUGUAUUUUUUCAAAUUUGAAACCAUAUUCUCAAAUUCUGCCCAUUAACUCUAAAUUCUAAGUCUAGAUUAGUUAGUUAUAGGGUAAAAAUGUAUUUUUAUCUUUUAAUAAAACUUAUUUUGGUCAUAUUUUUUUCAUUGAUAGCUAUUUUUGUGAAAAUAAACUAAAAAUGACUCUACAAGAGAAAUUUUUUUUAGUUUAGAUAUACUUAUACUAACUAUUUAUAGCAUUUUGUGUCCCAUAUUUUCUGAACUUCUAGGUCCGCCCCUGGCACUACAAGAAAACAGCGACAUACUGAGUGAAAAAAUCGUCGGUAUGUCGUCGGAAUAACGUUAUUCCGACGACAUACCGACGAAACAAGUCCUCGGAAAUAACUCCUCGGAAAUUCCAUUUUCCUCGGAAAUCCCUCGGAAUUUUCCGACGGAAUUCCGAGGAACAAAUUUUCGAGGAAACUCCGAGGACCACCAGUUCGUCGGAAAGCUCCUCGGAAUAUACCGAGGGAGAACUUCCUCGGGAUAUUUCGAUGGACGUUCAUCGAUCGAUGCGUUUNNNNNNNNNNNNNNNNNNNNNNNNNNNNNNNNNNNNNNNNNNNNNNNNNNNNNNNNNNNNNNNNNNNNNNNNNNNNNNNNNNNNNNNNNNNNNNNNNNNNNNNNNNNNNNNNNNNNNNNNNNNNNNNNNNNNNNNNNNNNNNCAAGUCCUGUUCGGAUUCCACCUAACUAACACAUAUUAUAUAUAUUUUUUUCUUUUUUUCUUUUUCGUUUUUUUUUUCUACCUAUAAAUCUAGGGUCGAAAUAGAAAGAGAAAAUGUGAUAAAUCUACGGAAAGCUUUAUUCAAAAAAUUUCAAAUCCAAUCCCAUAAAAUAAAGAGAAACCAGAAUAUCUCAAUACACACUUCUAAAUUGUUGAGUUUUAUAUAUUCCCAAACACGGCACAUUAUCUCUUCGCAAGUUUGACCAGCUAGAAGCUGCGACUUGAAUCCAUAGCUUGAGAGGAUAUUAAAUUAUUAACACAUGUGCGGUUGAACUAACUAUAUGUAAAACUUAACAGGAAUUUUGCUGUUAUUGAUACCGAUUUCAUCGUAUAUAAGAUAGCAGGAAUUGCAGUUAUUGAUACCAAUUUCAUCAUAUAUAAGAUAAAAGGAAUUUGCAGAGCCUGAAACCUAUAACCCUAACAACAAUGAGAGGACUGAAUAUGACUGUAUAUAUAUAAGCUGCACCACGCCACCCCCACCCCUGGUACAGCCAGAAGUACGAAAUAGAUUCCAAAGAGCUUAUAACCACCCGUCUCAUGGUAAACUCAGGUAAAAAUCUUCGGAGAGGCUUUACCUUUAAGGAACAUCGUAGAGACAAAUCCUUGAAUAUGAUGCAAUGCGAGGCCAAUUGUCGGAGAUACAACUCCAUGUCAUGGACUUUCAAGCUCUGUUACUGAAAAUUCAUCCCAAGAAGCUAAAAAGUCUAUUAUUUCACUCACUCUUAACAUCUAUGAAUCUCACAGGUUUGAUCCCUACCAAAAUCAGAGACUUUUUGGAGCUUGAAGUUCUAUUUUUUUCACCAGCAAAUCUCUCUCCGGUGAUUGCGAAUAUUGUCACUAAAGGUCUCGCUGUGACAAAUCUCUCUGGUAAACUUUUGGCGAAACCUGAAACACGUUCAGAAAUUAGCUAAUUGGUCACUGAGGUUGACAGGUAACAUUGAAAAGAGUUUUAAAGAUGUUCUUAAACCUUUGUCGGGAAAUCUUGUAGCAUCCUCCUUCUGCAAGGACCUUAGUACAAUGUGCAAUGCUUCCCAUAGCAGCAUCCGAAAACCCGGUGCACUUUUCACUGAUCAAAACAAAAGAUCGAUUAUAAGAGAGAUCACUCAAAGUUCCAAAGAAUAAACCUUUUAAUGGGCCAUUAAUCUGACAUGGACCAAAAGACAAAAAAAAAAAUCUCUUACCACAUUUUAACCUAUAUGCACCAGAGAUUCCCGAGGCAGUGGUCAGGUGCUCGCUUUCUCUCCCAACGCGAUUCCCGAGACCGGUUUGUUUUCACCCAUCUCUGACGCCGGAGGAGCCUGAGCUCGCCGGCGUCGGGACUCUUCGCCUCAUCCCUGUACUUCUGUUGCAUUUCUAGUCUUUGGUCCGACGAUGACUUCUCUCUGCACUGUCAGUCACUCCAUGUUUGUGCUUAUCAGUUGGUUUUGUUUCGGCUCCGCCGCCGGACUCACGGAUCUAUGCCGGUGCCGCCUCCUCUGUGUAUUGCUGCUCAUCUGUAGUCCUCUACCGGCUUUCUCCGUUGUUCCUAGCUCAGCGUUCAUAAAAGCUCCAAAUCUGAGAUUUCGUUCUUUCACCGGCUCCCCCGCUGCAGUCACCAUCACGAACAGACUUGGCAAACUCCAUAGGCUAUCACAUCUACUUUCAGCACAGUCUAUUCUCCAUGGUUCUCGGUCACCACUCCACCGUAACCUCUGCUCGCGCAACUCGUACUCGCUUUCCAGAUCUGAGAGCAUGUGCUCCAUCACCGCGAAGAGGUCUCUCGGUGUCGACACCACCAAACGCUUCGCCUCUGACACAUCUUGCCGUCUCGCAACAGCGGCCCAGCUCCCACGACACAUCAAUGGAUCCGUGCUCAGCCUUGACGACGAGUCUCACCGGACUUCAUCUUUUUCCGACGGGAAAACUGAUUACGGCGCAUGUGGUCUCACUGCUCACCACAAAACCCUAAUCUCUUUUUGGGCCUUAUCUAAAUGGGUUUUCUCUACAAGUGACUUGGCCACAAAUGUUCUCACAAGCUCUGGCCCAUUUCUCAAGAUCAAGCGUCGAAGGCAGCGACACCAUGGUUUCGUCCGACAAAUCCCUCCGGCUAAGUUCGUUUCAGUGCCAAAUUCACAAUCGGAGAUGAAAAGAAUUUCAAUCACCUCGCCAUCUCGCUUACCGAUCUUUUUGCUACCCGGAUCUAUUGAGAUUCAC